UUUCGACGGGGACGAUGAUGACGGUACCCGUAGAAGAAGCCCCGGCUAACUUCGUGCCAGCAGCCGCGGUAAUACGAAGGGGGCUAGCGUUGCUCGGAAUGACUGGGCGUAAAGGGCGCGUAGGCGGCGGCGUAAGUCAGAUGUGAAAUUCCUGGGCUUAACCUGGGGGCUGCAUUUGAGACUGCGUUGCUAGAGGAUGGAAGAGGCUCGUGGAAUUCCCAGUGUAGAGGUGAAAUUCGUAGAUAUUGGGAAGAACACCGGUGGCGAAGGCGGCGAGCUGGUCCAUUACUGACGCUGAGGCGCGAUAGCGUGGGGAGCAAACAGGAUUAGAUACCCUGGUAGUCCACGCCGUAAACGAUGUGUGCUGGAUGUUGGGGUUCAUA
rnacentral:rRNA from 1 species